rnacentral:rRNA from 1 species
UACGUAGGGUGCAAGCGUUGUCCGGAAUUAUUGGGCGUAAAGAGCUCGUAGGCGGUUUGUCGCGUCUGCUGUGAAAACCCGAGGCUCAACCUCGGGCCUGCAGUGGGUACGGGCAGACUAGAGUGCGGUAGGGGAGAUUGGAAUUCCUGGUGUAGCGGUGGAAUGCGCAGAUAUCAGGAGGAACACCGAUGGCGAAGGCAGAUCUCUGGGCCGUAACUGACGCUGAGGAGCGAAAGCAUGGGGAGCGAGCAGG